rnacentral:rRNA from 1 species
AACAGUAUCCGUCCGUGACGGUACCGUAAGAGAAAGCCACGGCUAACUACGUGCCAGCAUCCGCGGUAAUACGUAGGUGGCAAGCGUUGUCCGGAAUUAUUGGGCGUAAAGGGCGCGCAGGCGGUUCGGUAAGUCUGUCUUAAAAGUGCGGGGCUUAACCCCGUGAGGGGACGGAAACUGUCGAACUUGAGAGUCGGAG